rnacentral:rRNA from 1 species
AUACGUAGGGGGCAAGCGUUGUCCGGAAUUACUGGGCGUAAAGAGCUCGUAGGUGGUUUGUCGCGUCGUCUGUGAAAUUCCGGGGCUUAACUCCGGGCGUGCAGGCGAUACGGGCAUAACUUGAGUACUGUAGGGGAGACUGGAAUUCCUGGUGUAGCGGUGAAAUGCGCAGAUAUCAGGAGGAACACCGGUGGCGAAGGCGGGUCUCUGGGCAGUAACUGACGCUGAGGAGCGAAAGCAUGGGUAGCGAACAGGAUUAGAUACCCUGGUAGUCCAUGCCGUAAACGAUGGGCGCUCGUCGUCGGCGGCAGACAGUCGGCGGCCAAGCGAAAGCGAUAAGCGCCCCACCUGGGGAGUACGGUCGCAAGGCGGAAACUCAAAUGAAUUGACGGGG